rnacentral:rRNA from 1 species
AGCAGCCGCGGUAAUUCCAGCUCCAAUAGCGUAUAUUAAAGUUGUUGCAGUUAAAAAGCUCGUAGUUGAAUUUCGGGGUCAAUAAGUUGGUCGUGCCAAUGGUAUGCACUGGCUUUAUUGAUUCCUACCUCUUGACGAACUGUGAUGCCAUUAAUUUGGUGUCGCAAGGAAUCAGGACUGUUACCUUGAAAAAAUUAGAGUGUUUAAAGCAGGCUUACGCUUGAAUACAUUAGCAUGGAAUAAUGAAAUAGGACGUUUGAACCUAUUUUGUUGGUUUCUAGGAUCGACGUAAUGAUUAAUAGGGAUAGUUGGGGGCAUUAGUAUUCAAUUGUCAGAGGUGAAAUUCUUGGAUUUAUUGAAGACUAACUACUGCGAAAGCAUUUGCCAA